CGGAGGGGGCCAUCAGUGGUCAUAACUAUUAUGUCAGUUUCAUUGAUGCUUGUAGCCGGUUCACUUGGCUUUAUCUUCUUAAGCGCAAGUCCGAUGUGUUUUAUGUUUUCUUACAAUUCCAAGCGCAUAUUGAGCGUCUCCUUAGCCACAAAAUUAUUCAUGUGCAACCUGAUUGGUGUCGUGAGUAUCCCAACCUCAACGCGUUCUUUACUAAGCUUGGAAUUACUCAUAGUGUGUCUUGUCCUCAUACACAUCAACAAAACGGUGUAGCUGAGUGUAAGCAUGGUCAUAUAGUUGAGACUGGUCUUGCUUUGCUUGCUCACGCCUCGGUUCCUUUUCGGUUUUGGAGUGAUGCGUUUUUCACCGCAUGCUUUCUUAUUAAUCGACUACCUACACNNNNNNNNNNNNNNNNNNNNNUGCAUUCUUAUUGAUCGACUACCAACACGACUCCGUCAAAUGAAAAACCUCUUGAACUUUUGUUGAAUGAAAUCCCUGAUUAUACAUUCUUCAAAGUUAUUGGGUGCGCUUGUUGGCCACAUCUUCGUCCAUAUAACCAAUGCAAGUUGGAGUUUCGGUCUAAUCAGUGCAUGUUUCUUGGCUAUAGUUCUCUUCAUAAAGGGUGCAAGUGUCUUCAUGUUGUCUCUCACCGCACCUGCGCCACUCGCUCGUGAUGUGGUGUUUGAUGAGAAUGUUUUUCCUUUUGCCGCACCUCCAGUCGUCUCCACCACUCCCACCGCACCCGCGCCACUCGCUUUACCAUUGCCUGGUCAAUUUGUUGAUGCUGCGUAUCCUCCUUUGUUGCUACCUAACCAUGGUGCAGGUACUGGACGUGGAGCACGCCUUGAGCUUCUAGACGAGCAGCCGCCUGCUGCGUCUUCUCUUCCACCUGCGGCUCAGCCGGUUGCGCCUGCUGCGUCGCCUGCGUCGGCUGCGCCUG
rnacentral:lncRNA from 1 species